rnacentral:rRNA from 1 species
GACGAACCGGACAAACGUUAUUCGGAAUUACUGGGCGUAAAGGGCGCGUAGGCGGCCUCUUAAGUCGAACGUGAAAUCCCCGGGCUCAACCCGGGAACUGCGUCCGAUACUGGGAGGCUUGAAUCCGGGAGAGGGAGAGCGGAAUUCCUGGUGUAGCGGGUGAAAAUGCGUAGAUAUCAGGAGGAACACCGGUGGCGAAGGCGGAUCUCUGGACCAGUUCUGACACUGAUGAGCGAAAGCCAGGGGAGCAAACAGG